GACGAACGCUGGCGGCGUGCUUAACACAUGCAAGUCGAACGGAAAGGCCCUGCUUUUGUGGGGUGCUCGAGUGGCGAACGGGUGAGUAACACGUGAGUAACCUGCCCUUGACUUUGGGAUAACUUCAGGAAACUGGGGCUAAUACCGGAUAGGAGCUCCUGCUGCAUGGUGGGGGUUGGAAAGUUUCGGCGGUUGGGGAUGGACUCGCAGCUUAUCAGCUUGUUGGUGGGGUAGUGGCUUACCAAGGCUUUGACGGGUAGCCGGCCUGAGGGGGUGACCGGCCACAUUGGGACUGAGAUACGGCCCAGACUCCUACGGGAGGCAGCAGUGGGGAAUAUUGCACAAUGGGCGGAAGCCUGAUGCAGCAACGCCGCGUGCGGGAUGACGGCCUUCGGGUUGUAAACCGCUUUCGCCUGUGACGAAGCGUGAGUGACGGUAAUGGGUAAAGAAGCACCGGCUAACUACGUG
rnacentral:rRNA from 1 species